rnacentral:lncRNA from 1 species
ACCUUGUAGAUGAACUCUGACCUUUGUCAAUGACUUGUCCAUUAGAUAAGGGAUCAUAUAUUCCUCCAUUCUAGAUAUCAUAUGGACUGAGACAUGGAUUAUAAUCAUUCUCUCUGUCCAUUUGUUGUUUCCUGAUUUCCGAUUUAUGACGACUGACUAAUUGAACAAAUCAAAUCAGUCCUGGCCCGGCCGAGCACUUCCAUUUGUCAUCAUCAAAUCAUCGAGGGGCCCACAGAUAUCGCUUUUAUCCCGAAGGUAAAAGGAAUGGAUAAACUUCGACUCAUAUGGCUUGUUAUACUACUUGUUGAAUCAUACACAAAGACACGUUUUAUAACACCGAGUUACCGAAUGCGUUUUCGUGCAAUCAAUGUACAACCAACUCAUAGUAACAACUCAUAUCUCUAGGUUUUAAGAUUAUAAGAUAUUAUCGUCAAUUUCAUAUAAGGAAAACCCUAUGCUAAUAGGCAUCAUGAAAUCAGGCAAUUCUAUCAUGCAAUUUCUGAAGAUCCCUAGCCUAGUACUAGUAUGCUCUUCCAACAUAUCACAUAGUCAAGUAACUUGUGUGGUAUUUUGGGGUCUACUUACUGGCUCCGGCUGAUCGUACCCUCUGCAUCCUCCUUUACUUAUUUCGAAACACCUUUGAAAACCAUUNUAAAUCCCUCCUUGAUUUGAGACUGGAUUUACACGAAUGUUCCUCCAAUUCACUGAAACCAAGGCACUGAUACCAACUUAUAGCACCCAUAAAAUUCGAGCCAAAUUAAAACAUUUUAAUUCAUUGAAAAACCAUUAAGUUCAUACAUUUGUUUUCAAAAUAGUUUAAACAUCAGAGUAUUCCCCAAAACCAUAUCACAUAAAUCAUAAAACAUGAGGAGCAGUACGAUCACACCUUCGCCUUGCCACGUUCUCCUGAAGUACCUUAAACAAAACACUGAACUGUAAGCCCAAAAGCUUAGUGAGUUACCCCUAAAAUACCGACCACACGCAUACAUACUCAUAACAUAUCACAAAUAGAACAGCCAUGCACAUCGGGUCUACAAUGUGAUUGGUCCGCCCGUACUGGGCCUUCAAUCCACCUAGUCCACUCUCUGAGUCUACAGUAUGACUGGUCUGCCCACAUCGGGCCUUCAGUCGGCCUGGUCCACUCUUCGAGCCUCAGCACGUCUGGUUCGCCCUCUUGGGGCCUUCAGCCUAUGCGAACCGCUCACUGGGCCUUCAGAAUAUCUGGUCCGCCUUGGGUAUCUUGGCCUACAGCACAAAGCAGGACCCGCCUCAACCCAACCCCCGUCAACCAAUCGUAUGCACAUUAAACAAUUAAUCGCAUAACAAUCCUUAACCAGACAAGCAGUCUAAUAGGUCACAUAGCAUAUUAGUAACAUAGAAACCAUCCUAAACCAGGAUGUAUCUAGCAUAUCAGUAACAUAACAACCACCCUAAACCAGGAUGUAUCUAGCAUUUCAAUAACAUUGCAACCUCCUAACCAGGAUUCCGACCGAACCAGUCACUAGCAUAACAUUACCUUAUAUACCGGGUACCGACCUUGACCAGGUCACUAACAUAACACCAUCCUAAAUACCAGGAUGCAUAUCUAGAAAAGCAAUAACAUAACAAACAAUACCCGGAUUUCCAUCCCAUAAAGGGCCGGCCUUGGUGCCGUAGACCCUAUCGAUAUAGUGAGGAUAACUCACCUGCAAUUACCGACUGGAAAGAUAAGACCCAGCUACUCCGACCACCGACACGAUCUUCACCACAUAACACUACCAAAAAACCAAUUCCAUAAAUACCCAAAAUUACCAAAAUACACUUGGAAGUAAAACUGGUCAACUCUUGGUCAAAUUCAAAGUCCUCAGUCAAAGUCAACCUUCCUGGUUGAUUCUACUCGCCGAGUCACCCUGACAACUCGUCGAGUUCCUAUACUCAGAAACUCCCAAAAUACGACUCAACUCGCCGAGUCGCCCCAAGACUCGUCGUGUCCAACGAUCUAUGAGUCCCAUCCUGCCCGACUCAAUUAAUCCAAGGCUUUAACCAAAAGAGGUUGGGGUCUGCGACCAGACUCGCCGAGUCCAAGAACAGACUCGCCGAGUCCAAGGCAAUCUUCACCAGACUCACCGAGUUGUUCUUCCAACUCAUCGAGUCCAUGCACAUGUUCAUACAACUCGUCGAGUACACCCAUGUGACUCGCCGAGUCUCUCUAGUUCUCAAUCCAUUCAGAAGUUUUUCGAGCCAUGCAGGGGCUCCAAUCCAUAGAUCCACCCUUCUACAAUCUAACCCUCACACAAAGUUGCAAACUUUACGUGAAACCAAGGAGAUAUGGGUCCAAAACAUACUAGGGCUUGGGUUUUAGACAAAGGGACUUCACCAACAACUCAAAGACUGAAGCUUUAUGACAUUCUAGGCCAUCAUGAGUCUAGAUCUGGAGUAACAACCCCAGAUCUAACUCCAAAUCCGAGAUAGGCCUCAAAACAAGUUAAAUAACUCCCAAAACAACCACCAAGGAUGAACCAAAAAGGAAAUAGCUUAAGAUAAGGGCUCCUUACCUCAGAGAUGCGCCCAAAUCUGAUGUAGAUCCCAGAUCUAUACAAACCCCUUGAUGCUAGCUUCCAAUUUCUCAAGCUCAUUCCAAAAAUUUCGUCUUCCAAGUCCCAAUCUCCUCAACAAUGAAGCCUGACACAAAAUUAGGGUUUUCUGGAACUCUCAGGGGGAUUAGGAGGCUGGGGGAAGGACAUAAAGUCCUUUAAAUAGGGUGCAACCCUCGAGAUUAGGGUUUUCUCUCUUCAGCACCAACUCGUCGAGUCCACCGCUGACUUGACGAGUUGGCCACUUAAACCCGCGAUCAAUCCCGCUCUGACUCGACGAGUAGCAUACCUACUCGUCGAGUAGCUUCCUUAAUUUACACUUAGCACCCUCCAACUUCUUGCUUCCGAACUUUGGAUGAUACACUUCAUGUCUUGGCGCGGGCCAAAAUGUUGAGAAUUCGCGGCUACGGUGUUGAAAAGUUGUCUUGCUUGUUGUGGAGUUUUACUAAAGACAUCACCACCACUUGAGGCAUCAACUAGUUUUCUCUCCAUUGGCAACAAUCCCUCAUAGAAGUGUUGAUUGAGGAGUUGUUCUGGAAUUUGGUGUUGUGGGAAACUAUAGCACAAGUUGUUGAAAAUCUCCCAAUAACCAUGAAAAGUCUAAUUUUGACCUUGGCGGAUUCCACAAAUCUCAUUUCUAAGACUUGAGACUCUUGAAGUGGGAUAGAACUUAUCAAGGUAAGCUCUUUCCAUGUCGGUCCAUGAGUUGAUCGACCCCAGUGGAAGAUAGAAUAACCAAUCUUUUGCUCUAUCGGCCAAUGAAAAGGGGAAUGCCCUUAGCUUGAUUUGGUCAUCGGUUGACCCUUGUGGCUUCAUGCUAGUGCGAAUAAUGUUGAACAUCUUCAAAUGCUUAUGAGGGUCUUCAUUCUCCAAUCCAUGAAAAGUUGGUAGGUGAUGGACUAAAGUUGACUUCAACUCUGAGCCUCCUUCCAAAACCGGGUAAUUGAUACCGGUUGGAGUUUGUGUAACAUCGGUCCCCAUCAUUUGCCUCAAAGUUCUUUCGGGAACUUCUCCUCCGUCCGCCAUUGCAAUUGGCUCAAUAAUGGGUGGAUUUUGUUGUAGGGGUGGUGUUUCGGGAAUUUCUUGGCAAGGUUCAGGACUAGAAUCGGGUUCUAUAUCACUUAAUGAAGCGGUUUCAACCUCCGGAUCCACGUAAGGAUUAUAAGUUUGACCACGUUCACUUCGCUUUUCCUUCGCUACACGCCUUUCUUCUUUUUCGAUUUCUGGGUUGUAAAUCAAGUCAGCUGUACGUUGAGAUCUGGGCAUAGAGAAACAAAUUGAUUAAAAAUAAACCAGUCCCCGACAACGGCGCCAAAAUUUUGGUGGUUGUCGAGGCCAACAAAAUUAAUAACCCUAAUUAUUACACACUAACAUAGCAUAUAGUGGUAAAGGGAUCGAAUCCACAGAGAUUGGUUCAAUUUAUAACUCUAUGGAAAAUCUCUUUCUAAAAAUACUUGUAAAAUAACAAUAAAAAUAAAAUGGGAGUUUUGGUGUUUUGAAAUACUUGAAACAAACUAGAAUUAACUAUGAUUUAAAUAGACAAUUUCAACAAAAAUAAGGGUUUGAUGUAAAAUCAGUAAGUGAGAGAUGAUUGACUUAAAGUUUCCUCACUUUGACUUUUGAUGAACAUAUCAUUAGAAUCCAAUGGUGGAAUACUUUGAAUUAAAUCCUUAAUUUGGCUAUAGUAAUCCAAGGAGCUUGAGAUUACCUAGACUUUUCUUAAUUGUUGAAAUGGCUAUAGAAGCUCAUAACAAUUUCCUUAGUCAAAGUCACUAAUUCCAAAUAGCAUGUAAUUAGUGAAAACCAACUAGCAUUAAGAACCAAAAAGUCACCAAAUCCAAGAGGAGUCAAUUGCUUUCACUACCAUAUUGGAGAAAAUGUUUUUAUGAUUGUGUGAAGCAAAAACAACACAAAAAUCAUUUGUUGCUUGCUAAUUUGAGGAUCCUUUACUUAAUCAAGAAAUUAGUCAACUAAUCACCACAAACACAUUUAAACUCAUGAAUAAAAACAUACUAGUAGUGAUAAUAUCUUAAAACACAAAACAUUUCCAUAAAGAUUUAAGAACAAAUUCAUGGAUUCGUCAACAUUCAAUAAAAGUUCAAAGGAUUCAACAAAAAGUCAACCAAGAUUAGUUUAGCCAAGCAUGGGUAAACUCAAAAAAAUAAAGUUAAAGAAGAUUGUACCAAACAUUUUACAAUAAUCAAGAUGUGAAAAGAAGAUGUUCUUGAGGAGUUCUUGGGCUUCAAAAGUGCUCCAAACUCCAAAGAGAAAGUGUCAAACCUGGACCUCCAAGAUAAGGCUGAAGAGGCACAUCAACCUUUCCAAUAUAGAGCUCUAGGUAAAAUCCCGAAAUUGCCCUUAUCAGGAAUCCACGCGGGCCGCGGGAAUCUUACGCGGGCCGCGUGACUGCGACAGAACUUUUGGGCUUCUUCAAGUAUUGGGCCCCCACAGCUAAUCCAUUGGCCCAGUUCGAAUCCAAUCAGCUUCUAGCCCAUUUUUAUUUAAUAUUUCUUCAAUUAGAGCCCAAUUUUUCUCUCUACAUCACUCAAAACUUCCGCAAACUCCUAAACAUCGAUCUUGCACACUCAAGAAUUCUCCCGUGCCUUUCAAAUUUAAAGUUCAACACUUCCAUGCCUUCAAGCAAUUGACAAGGCCACUCCAUGAAUCAACUCCGUAGCCAUUAAGCAUGAAAUCCCCAUUUCCCUUCAAGCCCAAGCGCCUCCCAAGAGUCCCGCUCCGCUAGUCUCCAAGAAAAUCUACAAUACUGCUCAAGAUACUAGAAAGUACCCGAAAUGGUCAGAAAAUAAUAAAAAGAAAAAUAUGCAUGGAAAUUAACUAAAAUGCAAAUGAAAUGUGCUAAAAAACUAUAAAAAGAAGUAAAUAAAAUGAAGCUAUCAAUUAGGCUUCGUCCUCGAAGCCUACUGCAACACAAAUUCCUAAAUAAUAAUCCCACAAUGCAACUUCGGAUCUCAACUGACUCAGAUUCCUCCAAACACUACUAUCAAAUUGUUGGGUUUUGAGCAUACUACAACAUCCUAUGGUGCACAUAAAACCCUAAAUACCUUGGAUCUAUGUUUUCCCUAUUAUACAUGCAAAUAUGAAGUUUCAAAGAUAUUACCCUAUACUAGCAUACAAAUAUCAUAUACUUGGGUAAUAAUAUAAAUAGAAUACAUACCUUGUUGUUGUUGCUUGACUCCACGAAGCUUGAGAGCCUAGUGCCCUAAGUGUGACACCUGAAAUGGUUCACACAACAUCAUGAACACUUGGAAGAACCAUGAGAAGAAGACACUCCAAGCUCAAAUUGACUAGCCCUCAUAUGUGUAUUACUUGUGUCAAUUUCUUGAGCUAAAGGGGUCCUUCUAUAGUGUGCAUAUUAGGGUUACACCAUGUAAAUCAUGACUUUACCCAUUCCUUAUGCUCCAUGGGUUUUAACCUCCAUGAAGUAUCCAUGAACCACCACAUGGGUUAAACCCAACAUAAGGAAUCUUGGAUCAUAAGCCCACAUAUCUAAGAAUGAAUGAUUUACACAAUCAAUCCCCAUAUAUUUAAUUAGUCUCUUUUGAUCAAUAAAUUAAGUCCAAAUUUAUUCUUGAUCAAUACUAAUUAAAUAACAUAAUUUUAUAUUAAUAUAUUAGAACUUAUAAUAUAUUAAUAUGUCACAAAUGUCCUCUUCUCACAAACGGUCUAUCCAAAUGUCCCGAUGCCAUGCAACCCAAAUGGACCAUGCCGAGUCGGGUCAAGUCUUACCAAUUAUAGUUAUGGACUUAGACACUAAUCCAACAGUCUCCCACUUGGAUAAGUCUAAAACUAUUAUUGCGUAUGACUUCAAAACUCAACCGGCAAUCGUAGCUCUCAAAAGCUUCUGUCGAACUCUGACCUUGUAGAUGAACUCUGACCUUUGUCAAUGACUUGUCCAUUAGAUAAGGGAUCAUAUAUUCCUCCAUUCUAGAUAUCAUAUGGACUGAGACAUGGAUUAUAAUCAUUCUCUCUGUCCAUUUGUUGUUUCCCGAUUUCCGAUUUAUGACGACUGACUAAUUGAACAAAUCAAAUCAGUCCUGGCCCGGCCGAGCACUUCCAUUUGUCAUCAUCAAAUCAUCGAGGGGCCCACAGAUAUCGCUUUUAUCCCGAAGGUAAAAGGAAUGGAUAAACUUCGACUCAUAUGGCUUGUUCUACUACUUGUUGAAUCAUACACAAAGGCACGUUUUAUAGCACCGAGUUACCAAAUGCGUUUUCGUGCAAUCAAUGUACUAUCAACUCAUAGUAACAACUCAUAUCUCUAGGUUUGAAGAAUAUAAGAUAUUAUCGUCUCAUGAUCACUCGUGAUAAAAUCCAUGAAGUGAUUCAAAUGAGCGCGGGUUGAAUCCAAUACUCGGAACUUAUGAGCACUCAUGAGUGUUGUAGCACAACUUUGUCCACCAACUUGGACCUCUACAAGCCAACCCAUGACAGUCUUGAUUCAUAUCUACUUCCAACAUAUGACCGAUUGUGGAUGGUUUGAAUAACUUAGUCAUUCCAGAACAAUAACCUAGUUAUUAUGGAAGUCAAAACAUGCAAAGUGAAACACAAGAAUAAAUGAAUCAAAUAUGGUAUCAAACCCUAUGAAUAUAAAUAGACCACUUUUAUUUAUCACCAUACUGAUUACUCAUUAUUCAUUGUUUCGGUUUUAUCAACUUUAUACCUAAAUUAAAAACACUAGUUGUCCCAUGCUCCAAGCAUGUACACUAUGUUUUUCUAAACA